GCCUUCUUGGCUCAGAUGGCAGAGCGUCUGCCUAGUAACUAUCGCUUACGUAAGCAGAAGGUCGAGAGUUCAAUUCUCUCAGAAGGCA